rnacentral:rRNA from 1 species
UGGGGAAUAUUGCACAAUGGGCGAAAGCCUGAUGCAGCAACGCCGCGUGAGUGAUGAAGGUCUUCGGAUUGUAAAGCUCUGUCUUUUGGGACGAUAAUGACGGUACCAAACGGAGGAAGCCACGGCUAACUACGUGCCAGCAGCCGCGGUAAUACGUAGGUGGCGAGCGUUGUCCGGAUUUACUGGGCGUAAAGGGUGCGUAGGCGGAUGUUUAAGUGAGAUGUGAAAUACCCGGGCUUAACUUGGGUGCUGCAUUUCAAACUGGAUAUCUAGAGUGCAGGAGAGGAGAAUGGAAUUCCUAGUGUAGCGGUGAAAUGCGUAGAGAUUAGGAAGAACACCAGUGGCGAAGGCGAUUCUCUGGACUGUAACUGACGCUGAGGCACGAAAGCGUGGGUAGCAAACAGGAUUAGAUACCCUGGUAGUCCACGCCGUAAACGAUGAGUACUAGGUGUAGGAGGUAUCGACCCCUUCUGUGCCGCAGUAAACACAUUAAGUACUCCGCCUGGGAAGUACGAUCGCAAGAUUAAAAC